GGGGCUGUGGCGGAAUUGGCAGACGCGCGUGACUUAAAAUCUCGUUCCGUAAGGAGUGUGGGUUCGAGUCCCACCAGCCCCAUCA
rnacentral:tRNA from 1 species